GACGAACCGUGCAAACGUUAUUCGGAAUCACUGGGCGUAAAGCGCACGUAGGCGGCUUUCUAAGUCAGGGGUGAAAUCCUGGAGCUCAACUCCAGAACUGCCUUUGAUACUGGGAAGCUCGAGUCCGGAAGAGGUGAGUGGAACUCCGAGUGUAGAGGUGAAAUUCGUAGAUAUUCGGAAGAACACCAGUGGCGAAGGCGGCUCACUGGUCCGGUACUGACGCUGAGGUGCGAAAGCGUGGGGAGCAAACAGG
rnacentral:rRNA from 1 species